GCUCACGUGACUUCGGCAUGGCGGCGUUUGCCGAUUUGGACCUACGGGCGGGUUCCGACCUGAAGGCGCUGCGCGGGCUCGUGGAGAACACUGCCCACCUGGGCUAUUCAGUGGUUGCCAUCAAUCAUGUUGUUGAAUUUAAGGAAAAGAAACAGGAAAUUGAAAAACCAGUAGCUGUUUCUGAACUCUUUACAACUUUGCCAAUUGUACAGGGAAAAUCAAAACCAAUUAAAAUUUUAACUCGACUAACAAUUAUCGUUUUGGAUCCAUCACACUGUAAUGUUUUGAGAGCAACUUCUUCAAGAGUCCGGCUGUAUGAUAUUGUUGCAGUUUUUCCAAAGACAGAAAAACUUUUUCAUGUUGCUUGUACACAUUUAGAUGUGGAUUUAGUCUGCAUAACUGUAACAGAGAAGCUACCAUUUUAUUUCAAAAGACCCCCUAUUAAUGUGGCAAUUGACCGAGGAGUGGGCUUUGAACUUCUCUAUAGCCCUGCUAUCAAAGACUCCACGAUGAGAAGGUACACAAUUUCCAACGCCCUCAAUUUAAUGCAGGUCUGCAAAGGAAAGAAUGUAAUUAUAUCUAGUGCUGCAGAAAGGCCUUUAGAAAUAAGAGGCCCAUACAAUGUGGCAAACUUAGGGUUGCUGUUUGGGCUGUCCGAAAGUGAUGCCAAGGCUGCAGUGUCCACCAACUGCCGAGCAGUGCUUCUGCAUGGAGAAACUAGAAAAACUGCUUUUGGAAUUAUUUCCACGGUGAAGAAACCUCGGACAUCAGAAGCAGAUGAUGAUUCUCUUCCAGCCUGCAAAAAAGCCAAGUGUGAGAGCUGAAAAGAACCCUCCAUCUCGGUCAACACUCUGCCCUUUCAGAGUCCAUCAGCCGCUCUGAACAGAAACGGAACCCCUGUAUGCUUCACUGUUUGCACUUGGAGCCAGAUGUCACUAGUCUAUAAAAACAAUCUUAUAUUCAAGCCAUUAAAAUAACAAAACCUAGUAAAGCAUCAAAAAAAGACUGUCCCCGUAAUGAAUUUAGAUAUAUUUUAGGAGAAAAACAAAGACUAGUUUGUUUAUCCUUUGCAUUAAGUGAUAAAUGGCAGGUAUACUUGAAUAAGAUGUUUUAAUACAAGAGACUCUUUAAAAAUGUUUCUUGUUCAUUUUGAAGUGCACGCUUUUCAGCUUCACUUGGUAUACAUGGCUUAUUAUUUUUUAGUUUUACUACUCAAAAAGUGAUUAUUUUGAGGACUAAUAAAACUUUUGUUAAGGGGUUGA